rnacentral:rRNA from 1 species
GAUGAACGCUGGCGGCGUGCCUAAUACAUGCAAGUCGAGCGAAUGGAUUAAGAGCUUGCUCUUAUGAAGUUAGCGGCGGACGGGUGAGUAACACGUGGGUAACCUGCCCAUAAGACUGGGAUAACUCCGGGAAACCGGGGCUAAUACCGGAUAACAUUUUGAACCGCAUGGUUCGAAAUUGAAAGGCGGCUUCGGCUGUCACUUAUGGAUGGACCCGCGUCGAAUUAGCUAGUUGGUGAGGUAACGGCUCACCAAGGCAACGAUGCGUAGCCGACCUGAGAGGGUGAUCGGCCACACUGGGACUGAGACACGGCCCAGACUCCUACGGGAGGCAGCAGUAGGGAAUCUUCCGCAAUGGACGAAAGUCUGACGGAGCAACGCCGCGUGAGUGAAGAAGGCUUUCGGGUCGUAAAACUCUGUUGUUAGGGAAGAACAAGUGCUAGUUGAAUAAGCUGGCACCUUGACGGUACCUAACCAGAAAGCCACGGCUAACUACGUGCCAGCAGCCGCAGUAA